rnacentral:lncRNA from 1 species
AGGAACUUGUGUAUUUAAUCCACCUCCAGAACAACUCAUGUUCUCUGGCGUCAGACGUGAUGGCUCCUGAUAACUGUGCGUGGGGAAGGAACAUGUUGCUCAGGCCCAGGUUGGCGUGAGGUCUGCAGUCAAGAGACCCACAGCCCGAGUCCUCAUCUUCCUGAAAACACAGAGGACACGUGAAUCCUGGACUGCCGAUCUCACCGCUCCAGCUUCAGACCAGCAGCCCCACGGUGCUUCCAGGGAGAGGGUCAGUCUCCCACCUGGUACCUUCUUCCCAGGUUCUGCAUCACGCACCCCGGAACGUCUGUAAUUAGUCAUGAAACCCACAUGAGCUGCCUGCAGAAAACUCCAUAAUGGGCAGGCUAAGCUGAGAAACGGAUGGUGAAGCAGCGGGGUUUGGGACCGUCACCCGUCAGAGCUCCGACAGAUCACAGACCUCACAGUCACCGAGGGCGGCUCCAGGCAGAAAAAGCCAGGAACACACGUGGCAUUGAGUCCAGGGUACAUUUGUCAAAGUCUUCUUCAACACACGUUGUGUGUGCGUGUGUAUGUAUGCUAGUGAAGUGAAAGGCGCUCAGUCGUGUCUGACUCUUUGCAACCCCAUGAACUAUACAGUCCAUGGAAUUCUCCAGGCCAGAAUACUGGAGUGGGCAGCCUUUCCCUUCUCCAAGGGCUCUUCCAACCCAGGGAUCAAACCCAGGUCUCCAGCAUUGCAGGCGGAUUCUUUACCAGCUGAGCCACCAGGGAAGCCCGUAUGUAUGCUAACCCGUGUCCAGCUCUUUGCAACCCCAUAGGCUGUAGCCCUCCAUGCUCCCCUGUCUAUGGGAUUCUCCAGGCAAGAAUACUGGAGUGGGCUACCACUCCCUUCUCCAGGGGAUCUUCCUGACCCAAGGAUCAAACCUGCAUCUCCUUCGUCUCCUGCAUUGGCAGCGGAUGCUCUACCACUGAGUCACCUGGGAAGCCCAGAUGUUGUGAAAGCAAUGAAGUUAAGUCUCAGAGAUUCCAGGCUCUGAAGUGAUUCUGCCACAUAAGCCCACAAAAAUGGCACCUGGGGCCUUUCCUGUCUUCAUGAACGAAUGAGGUUUUACUAAAAACGAGUAUAAAUAUUUGUACGGGUUUUCAUCUACCUUCACAUUAAAAUCUGCUUGAAGUUCCCAUC